rnacentral:rRNA from 1 species
AGAGUUUGAUCCUGGCUCAGAUUGAACGCUGGCGGCAGGCUUAACACAUGCAAGUCGAGCGGAUGGAAUGUGCUUGCGCCUUAACUUAGCGGCGGACGGAUGAGUGAUGCUUAGGAAUCUGCCUAUUCCUGGGGGACGACGUUUCUAAAGGAACGCUGAUACCGCAUACGUCCUACUGGAGAAAGGAGGGGAUCUUCAGACCUUGGGCUAUUAGAUGAGCCUUUGUCGGAUUACCUAGUUGGUGGGGUAAAGGCCUACCAAGGCUACCAUCUGUAGGGGGUCUGACAGGAUGAUCCGCCACACUGGAACUGACACACUGCCCCUACUCCUACGGGAGGACUCCUUGGGGAAUAUUGGACAAUGGGUCAAAGCCUGAUCCAGCCAUGCCGCGUGUGUGAAGAAGGCCUUUUGGUUGUAAAGCACUUUAAGCGAGGAGGAGGAGCUUCAGGUUAAUACCCUGUAUGCUUGGACGUUACUCCCAUAAUAAGCACCGGCUAACUCUGUGCCAGCAACCACGGGAAUACAGACGGUGCAAGCCUUAAUCGGAUUUACUGGUCCUAAAUCAUGCGUAGGCGGCUACUUACGUCAGAUGUCAAAUCCCUGAUCUUAACUUGCGAAUUGCAUUCGAUACUGGUCAUCUAGAGUAUGGAAAAUGAUGUGAGAAUUACAAGAGUAGCAUUGAAAUGCGUACAGAUCUAUAGGAAUACAUAUGGAGGAAGCAGCCAUCUGACCUAAUACUGACGGUGAGGUACUGAACGCAUGGCGAGCAAACAGGAUUAAAUACACUGGAUAGUCCAUGC